CCUACGGGAGGCAGCAGUGAGGAAUAUUGGUCAAUGGGCGGGAGCCUGAACCAGCCAAGUCGCGUGAAGGAAGAAGGAUCUAUGGUUCGUAAACUUCUUUUGCAGGGGAAUAAAGUGCAGGACGUGUCCUGUUUUGUAUGUACCCUGAGAAUAAGGAUCGGCUAACUCCGUGCCAGCAGCCGCGGUAAUACGGAGGAUCCGAGCGUUAUCCGGAUUUAUUGGGUUUAAAGGGUGCGUAGGUGGUUUGAUAAGUCAGCGGUGAAAGUUUGCAGCUUAACUGUAAAAAUGCCGUUGAAACUGUCGGACUUGAGUGUAAAUGAGGUAGGCGGAAUGCGUGGUGUAGCGGUGAAAUGCAUAGAUAUCACGCAGAACUCCGAUUGCGAAGGCAGCUUACUAAGCUACAACUGACACUGAAGCACGAAAGCGUGGGGAUCAAACAGGAUUAGAUACCCGUGUAGUC
rnacentral:rRNA from 1 species